rnacentral:rRNA from 1 species
UACGGAGGGGGCUAGCGUUGUUCGGAAUUACUGGGCGUAAAGCGCACGUAGGCGGCUUUGUAAGUUGGAGGUGAAAGCCCGGGGCUCAACUCCGGAAUUGCCUUUAAGACUGCAUCGCUAGAAUUGUGGAGAGGUAAGUGGAAUUCCGAGUGUAGAGGUGAAAUUCGUAGAUAUUCGGAAGAACACCAGAGGCGAAGGCGACUUACUGGACACAUAUUGACGCUGAGGUGCGAAAGCGUGGGGAGCAAACAGG